rnacentral:rRNA from 1 species
GCGAAAGCCGUGGCAGGAGUGGGGGGAAGUAGUGGGUGGGGGGUGUUGUCGGGAUUGACUGGGCGUGAAGGAUGCGUAGGUGGAUACUUAAGUGGGAGGUGAAAGCCCCGGGCUCAACCCGGGAACUGCAUUCCAAACUGGGUAUCUAGAGUGCAGGAGAGGAAAGCGGAAUUCCUAGUGUAGCGGUGAAAGGCGUAGAUAUUAGGAGGAACACCAGUGGCGAAGGCGGCUUUCUGGACUGUAACUGACACUGAGGCAUGAAAGCGUGGGUAGCAAACAGGAUUAGAUACCCUGGUAGUC